rnacentral:lncRNA from 1 species
UCACUAUUUCUCUAUUAAUUUCCCUCUUCUACUAUUCAAUCUUGCAAUUUUUUCCUGUAAUUUAAUCACCAGUAAAUUAGAACUUUUUGCACCAAAACAAACGUAAUGAAACACAAAUCAAAACAUACAAAAGCCCAUGGCAAAUCUGGUUUCAAAAUGAAAUAAUCAUUUAAUUUACAUAAAAAAGCGUAUAUAAAUAUACAUACAAGAAUGGAAAAUUAGAUGACUAAGCAGAAAAGAAGCCAUUGGUAGCAGCAACAGUGAUCUGUGAUCUGGCCUCGAAAUUCCUCACCAUUUUGUCAUCCUUUACUAACAGCAUCAUCUCUUUCAUCCAAGAAGCAGAUGACCCUUUGAAUCUCUGCCCCAAAACUCCCACACACGAAAACAUAUCAAUCUCCCCACCAUUCAUCUUUCUUGAAUUCUUCACCCUCCUCUCAUACUCCUCUGCAACCAAGAUUGCAAUAUCUGCCAUUUUCAACAAUCCCUCUCUCUCUCUACAAUAAUUUCUUGCACUUGUUUGAGCUUUGCCACUGUUAGUAAUGAUGGAUAAUGGUGGGGUUUUUUGUGUGUAUUUAAAGGGGUGGGAGCAAUAUUGGAUAAGGUUGCCAGGUGAUGACUGAUCCUAGCUACAAUGUUUUAGCAUUAUUUUAUGCAAGGAUUUAGGUAAUUCAGGAUCAUCUUUCUUUUCCCUUUUUAAGUUUUUAAAGUUUAUAUAUUUAUUUAUUUAUUGCAGUUUACUGUGAGCCGAUUUCUGUGGUCGAAGGGCAUGAAUAGAAUACUGCUUUGCCGACCAAAAUGGCAGUUUUCUUGAGAUUAAACUAAUAUGUGCUAAAUUAGUUAAAAUGCUUCACUUUUUGGAGAAUUAGUGGAAUCUAAUUUGUUAGAUGUGAAGAUCAUUAAGUAAAUUGUUUACUGAAUAUACAUCUAAAUAAAUGUAUAUGGAUUAUAUAAACGGCUGAUAUUGCAAUAUGGAGUAUGAUACUGAAAGAUGCGAGUUUUGGGACUUCUAAACAAGCAAUUAGUUGCAUUUCCUUUUCAUACAGGCUUGCAUCUAUAGUUUAAAGUCAUUUUUAAUGAGAUACGAGAUCUUUUUUUCUGUAUCUUUAUCUUUAUAAAAAACAAAGUAAAUGUCAUUCAAUUUGAAGGACAUAAUUGGAAAAAAUCUUAAUUAGUGGUUAAUUCUUUUGUUUCAAACGGAUACACUUUGUUAUCUAAAAAAAAACGGUUACACUUCUUCAUUUACUUUUUAUUCUCAUUAAUUAUAUAAAACCUAUUUUCUGAUUAAUUUAUUUAAUAAUUUAUUAUGAAUAUAAUAUACAAAAUGCAUCUUAAAUAAAAGAUCAUAAAAAGAUCUUUACUUUGAUAUAUAAUAUGUAAAAAAUUAAUUUAAAAUAAAUAAAUUGUUAUCAUUUAAAGUUUAACCAUAUUCAAAAAAAUAAAUACUUCUAACUUCCGUUCAAAUGUGUAACAUAUUCAAAUAUCUUUCAAAAUAUUUCUAAUUAAUAUUUCUUCUUUCUUUUUAUGAAUUUUGUUUAUUUAUUAAAAGUUUGAAUUUUAUAGGUUGAUAUUUUUUUUUUAAUUCAUCAUUUUUUCACACCAAAAUUCAUAAUGUUUUUUUUUAACAAACCAAAUUCAUAAUGUUACAUAGAAAAUUCAUACACAGCUUAUUUUAUGCGAUAAAUUUGGUUUAGUUAGUGUAAUUAUAGAAACUCCAUAUAUAAGUGGUAGAAUAUUUAUAUAUAGACACAUGUUAUAUUUUUGUAUAAUUACAUUGGUAAUGUUAAAAUAUUAGAUCACUUAACAAAAUAUAAUUUUGGUGUCGAAUUUUAAUUAUAUUAGUUUAUAUUAAUAUUAUAAAACAUAUAUAUGCAAAUUUUACGUGAGUCUAAAUUCACAUUCAACCGCGCAUAACGCGGGAGGUACACUAGUUUCUUAUAAAUGACCAUUUUCCCUCGGUAAAAAAAAUAAACGAUAUAAAUUAAAUAAAUAAUUCAUGUAAAGAUGCUUUAGGUGCUAGAAUAUUGAAGGACAGCAUUUAUAAUGUCUAAACCGGUUAUUAGGCUUAGAAUUUUGCAUGAAUAUUUUGAUAAUUUUUACUUGAUUUGGUGGGAUUCGUGGGAACUCGUUGAAAUUUGAAAUUCAUCGUGUUUGUUUUUGUUGGAAAGAGAUUCUAACUUGAAUAUAUUAUACACACAUGCUAAUUAAUUGAUUAUAUUUUUUUAGGGUUAAUUGUGUAUAAUAUCAAGAACUUUGCCCGAAAUUCAUUUUUCCCACGAUCUUUAAAAAAUCUAUUUUUUAUCAAAUAUUUUGAUAUUUGUCCAAUUUUUCCACAAAUGUUUUUUUUUCAAUGACUAGAAAAAUGAAAUAGCAGUGACGUAAAUUUAAUUUUACACGUAACACUGACGUGGAAUAUAUAUGAAUUUUAAAUUACACAUAAUAUUAAAUCAUAAUAAAAAGCCCUAAUUUCUUUUAAUUUCUCAUUUUUAUCGGGCAAAAGAAAAUCAAAGACUUCUUUUGGCGCUAGAAAGAAACGAUUGCUCUCCUUUCCACCACCUCUGUUGAAGGGUUCCUCUCCAGACCAGUGCGGAAAUCUUCGUGUCGAGGUCUUCCAAACCAGUGGCACCGAUUGUUCGCCGAUUGCUGGCGCCGAUUGCUUU